rnacentral:rRNA from 1 species
UACGGGGGGGGGCAAGCGUUGUUCGGAAUUACUGGGCGUAAAGGGCUCGUAGGUGGCCAACUAAGUCAUACGUGAAAUCCCUCGGCUUAACCGGGGAACUGCGUCUGAUACUGGAUGGCUUGAGGUUGGGAGAGGGAUGCGGAAUUCCGAGGUGAGCGGUGAAAUGCGUAGAUAUCGGAGGAACACCGGUGGCGAAGGCG